AUAACUUCGGGAAACCGGAGCUAAUACCGGAUAAUAUAUUGAACCGCAUGGUUCAAUAGUGAAAGACGGUUUUGCUGACACUUAUAGAUGGAUCCGCGCUGCAUUAGCUAGUUGGUAAGGUAACGGCUUACCAAGGCAACGAUGCGUAGCCGACCUGAGAGGGUGAUCGGCCACACUGGAACUGAGACACGGUCCAGACUCCUACGGGAGGCAGCAGGC
rnacentral:rRNA from 1 species